rnacentral:misc_RNA from 1 species
AAGUCGUAACAAGGUUUCCGUAGGUGAACCUGCGGAAGGAUCAUUACCAAUUAAUCCAAAAAACACUCAACCCAUGUGCACGAUGACUGAAAUGUCUGUUCUUGGGGUGGAGCUUUCAUGUUCCACCCCAUAUUUAUUCAAACCCUUUGUAUUUUUCUUGGCAUCUUGUCUUUUUAAAUAAAAACAAAGGACAACUUUUAACGGUGGAUCUCUUGGCUCGU